rnacentral:rRNA from 1 species
CCUACGGGAUGCUGCAGUGGGGAAUAUUGGACAAUGGGCGAAAGCCUGAUCCAGCCAUGCCGCGUGUGUGAAGAAGGCCUUCGGGUUGUAAAGCACUUUCAGUGGGGAAGAAAGCCUUGGGGCUAAUACCCUCGAGGAAGGACAUCACCCACAGAAGAAGCACCGGCUAACUCCGUGCCAGCAGCCGCGGUAAUACGGAGGGUGCGAGCGUUAAUCGGAAUUACUGGGCGUAAAGCGCGCGUAGGCGGUCUGAUAAGCCGGUUGUGAAAGCCCCGGGCUCAACCUGGGAACGGCAUCCGGAACUGUCAGGCUAGAGUGCAGGAGAGGAAGGUAGAAUUCCCGGUGUAGCGGUGAAAUGCGUAGAGAUCGGGAGGAAUACCAGUGGCGAAGGCGGCCUUCUGGACUGACACUGACGCUGAGGUGCGAAAGCGUGGGUAGCAAACAGGAUUAGAUACCCGAGUAGUU